GAUGAACGCUGGCGGCGUGCCUAAUACAUGCAAGUCGAGCGAACAGGCGAGGAGCUUGCUCCUCUGACGUUAGCGGCGGACGGGUGAGUAACACGUGGAUAACCUACCUAUAAGACUGGGAUAACUUCGGGAAACCGGAGCUAAUACCGGAUAAUAUAUUGAACCGCAUGGUUCAAUAGUGAAAGACGGUUUUGCUGUCACUUAUAGAUGGAUCCGCGCCGCAUUAGCUAGUUGGUAAGGUAACGGCUUACCAAGGCAACGAUGCAUAGCCGACCUGAGAGGGUGAUCGGCCACACUGGAACUGAGACACGGUCCAGACUCCUACGGGAGGCAGCAGUAGGGAAUCUUCCGCAAUGGGCGAAAGCUUGACGGAGCAACGCCGCGUGAGUGAUGAAGGUCUUCGGAUCGUAAAACUCUGUUAUUAGGGAAGAACAAAUGUGUAAGUAACUAUGCACGUCUUGACGGUACCUAAUCAGAAAGCCACGGCUAACUACGUG
rnacentral:rRNA from 1 species